GGCUGCAAGAGGGAGAGGAACAAAGCGGGAGGGGGUUCCAGCGUUAUGAAGGCGUAAGCCCAGGGAGUCAGCUGUCUGGAUCAUUGAACAGAUACAGUGCGACUAUAUUCAGGUCUGCUGGAGUUUGUUGGAAGUCCACACCAGACGCUGUUUGCCAGGGUAUCAUCAGCAAAGGCUGCAGAAGAGCCAAGAUUGCUGCCUAUUCCUUCCUCUGGAAGGGGAGGCAACGCCCCACGCUGCUUCUGCUUGCCCUCCGUGGGCUGCACCCAGUGUCUAACCAGUCCCAAUGAGAUGAGCCAGAU